UACCCUAGAGUCAUCCUCGGCGAAUCCCUAGCACUUGAGGGGAGGUCGAGCAUGUUGCAGAGCGAGGCGAAGGAGUACUAUGAAGCUAGGAAUAGGGCGGUGAUGAGGGGCUGUUGCUCCAGUGUAGUAGUGUACACGGCGGAGAUGCCUGGCAACCUGAGGGAUGUGGCGGAGCAAAGGGAACGAGGGGAGGGGAGGAGAGGGAAGGGAAGGGGAGGGG
rnacentral:lncRNA from 1 species